GAUGAACGCUGGCGGCGUGCCUAAUACAUGCAAGUCGAGCGAACGGACGAGAAGCUUGCUUCUCUGAUGUUAGCGGCGGACGGGUGAGUAACACGUGGAUAACCUACCUAUAAGACUGGGAUAACUUCGGGAAACCGGAGCUAAUACCGGAUAAUAUUUUGAACCGCAUGGUUCAAAAGUGAAAGACGGUCUUGCUGUCACUUAUAGAUGGAUCCGCGCUGCAUUAGCUAGUUGGUAAGGUAACGGCUUACCAAGGCAACGAUGCAUAGCCGACCUGAGAGGGUGGUCGGCCACACUGGAACUGAGACACGGUCCAGACUCCUACGGGAGGCAGCAGUAGGGAAUCUUCCGCAAAGGGCGAAAGACUGACGGAGCAACGCCGCGUGAGUGAUGAAGGUCUUCGGAUCGUAAAACUCUGUUAUUAGGGAAGAACAUAUGUGUAAGUAACUGUGCACAUCUUGACGGUACCUAAUCAGAAAGCCACGGCUAACUACGUG
rnacentral:rRNA from 1 species